CUCCGGUGGAUCCUGCCGGACCCGACUGCUAUCAGAGUGGGACUAAGCCAUGCGAGUCAACAUAGCAAUAUGUGGCAUACGGCUCAGUAACACGUAGUCAACAUGCCCAGGGGACGUGGAUAACCUCGGGAAACUGAGGAUAAACCGCGAUAGGUCAUCACUUCUGGAAUGGGUAAUGACUUAAAUCUAUAUGGCCCCUGGAUUGGACUGCGGCCGAUCAGGCUGUUGGUGAGGUAAUGGCCCACCAAACCUGUAACCGGUACGGGCUCUGAGAGGAGGAGCCCGGAGAUGGGCACUGAGACAAGGGCCCAGGCCCUAUGGGGCGCAGCAGGCGCGAAACCUCUGCAAUAGGCGAAAGCUUGACAGGGUUACUCUGAGUGAUUUCCGUUAAGGAGAUCUUUUGGCACCUCUAAAAAUGGUGCAGAAUAAGGGGUGGGCAAGUCUGGUGUCAGCCGCCGCGGUAAUACCAGCACCCCGAGUGGUCGGGACGUUUAUUGGGCCUAAAGCAUCCGUAGCCGGUUCUACAAGUCUUCCGUUAAAUCCACCUGCUUAACAGAUGGGCUGCGGAAGAUACUAUAGAGCUAGGAGGCGGGAGAGGCAAGCGGUACUCGAUGGGUAGGGGUAAAAUCCGUUGAUCCAUUGAAGACCACCAGUGGCGAAGGCGGCUUGCCAGAACGCGCUCGACGGUGAGGGAUGAAAGCUGGGGGAGCAAACCGGAUUAGAUACCCGGGUAGCCCCAGCUGUAAACGAUGCAGACUCGGUGAUGAGUUGGCUUAUUGCUAACUCAGUGCCGCAGGGAAGCCGUUAAGUUUGCCGCCUGGGGAGUACGGUCGCAAGACUGAAACUUAAAGGAAUUGGCGGGGAGCA
rnacentral:rRNA from 1 species